UUGUUGUGGAGAAAUAAAGUGAAUAUGAGUAUCAAUUCCGCCAGCUGUUAGAAUUUUGUUUUCACCAGCUAGAAUCUCUGUGGCAGCACCAAUAGGGAUAUCGAUGUUAUCCAUAAUUAGCGGAUUGCCAGCUUUCCCAAUGGCUAAAAUUUUACCAUCCUUAAUGGCCACAUCUGCUUUAAUUAUUCCACUAUAAUCGACAAUCGUCGCAUUGGUGAUAACUAAAUCAGGUGCUCCGCCAUCACGAGUAACUAACGGAUCCAUCCC
rfam:Enterococcus pallens ATCC BAA-351 genomic scaffold acvKb-supercont1.5, whole genome shotgun sequence.